GACGAACGCUGGCGGCGUGCUUAACACAUGCAAGUCGAACGGUAAGGCCCUUCGGGGUACACGAGUGGCGAACGGGUGAGUAACACGUGGGUGAUCUGCCCUGCACUUCGGGAUAAGCCUGGGAAACUGGGUCUAAUACCGGAUAGGACCACUGCCUGCAUGGGUGGUGGUGGAAAGCUUUUGCGGUGUGGGAUGGGCCCGCGGCCUAUCAGCUUGUUGGUGGGGUGAGGGCCUACCAAGGCGACGACGGGUAGCCGGCCGGGGAGGGUGACCGGCCACACUGGGACUGAGAGACGGCCCAGACGCCUACGGGAGGCAGCAGUGGGGAAUAUUGCACAAUGGGCGCAAGCCUGAUGCAGCGACGCCGCGGGAGGGAUGACGGCCUUCGGGUUGUAAACCUCUUUCAGCACCGACGAAGCGCAAGUGACGGUAGGUGCAGAAGAAGGUCCGGCCAACUACGUGCCAGCCGCCGCCGUAA
rnacentral:rRNA from 1 species